CGUUUGCUUCAAUUUUAAAUGAAAGCAAACUAAGCUCAGCGUACCAAAGGUGCUUCUUUCAGAACGCGACGUACUGUCUCAGCAAGCCACGUACUGUAUUCGUUCCCCAACACAGCAUGCUGCUAGCAAUAUACCUGCUGCUCUUUGCAACAGUGCUGUUUUCAUCUGAAACGCAAGCUAAGGUCGACGUGUGCGAAAUGGAGCCAGAUCCUGGGCCAUGUAACGCUAUUAUUCCUGCCUACUACUUCAAUGCGACACACGGGUGCAUAUAUUUCAUAUAUGGUGGAUGCUAUGGGAACGGCAAUAAUUUCGACAGCGUUGAAGAGUGCAUGGACAAGUGUGGUCAUCUAAUGAAACAUAAAUUAUACCCUGAUGGAAAAUACAUCAGGAAAAUUCAUGGAAAGAGAGUUCCCUGGCCAGCCGGUAAUGAUGUAUAUGAUUGACAGGAAACGUAAAUAAGAGGCGCAUCGCUUACAGGCGUGUAAGAGCGAUCGAAUACACAAAUAAAUAAAUCUUUUAUUGUUGAA